UCUCUAGUGUUCUGGUCAAGGACUCUUGAACUGAUACUUCAGUUUUUAAUAAUACAUCAAAUUCGAUGCCUCCACUGCAUCUGUAAUUCCAAUUUGCACCUUUCCAUCCAGGUCCGGACAGUAAAAUCUAUAUCCUGGUCCUGCUGGGUCUCCCCCAUCUGACCAUCCCAGUGCCAGCCCCUUGUUAGAGCUCAUCUGUGGAUGCUAACGAUCACACACUCCCCUGCCCGGCCCUGCAUGCAGCUUGCCGGCGGGGGGGCCAGGGUCUUUAUAAUUGGUUUUGGGAGGACAGCAGCUGCUUCGUACUCCUGCACACCAGUCCCCAAAGGAGGUGCAGGAGUAAAAGGGGUGAGGGUGGAGGGGCUGCCACAUGGUCCACCCCCCCUCCUCCACCUCCUCCUUACAUCUUGGAUGAAAGACUGCUGUCAAAUAGACGAAUACACUUCUGGAGAGGCUUGUGCUGAUGAUGGUGGUGGUGGUGGUGGGGAUGAAAGGCAGAGGAACAAAAUAAAGAAGAGGACAAAUGCACCUGAUGUACAGCUUGCACCACAAUUCAAUAACGGUGAUGACAUUAAUGUGCUUUUAACAAUAUAGAAAUUAAAAGAAAAAGCCAGUACUCACUGAUUGCUCUAUUUCCCUGGUGUCUGUCAAUACCAACGUCUGCAGAAAAGUGAGAAUGAAAGAAAUAGAUAUAAAGAUAUGAAUAAGGGCAAAAACACGUCACUUAGACACACACAGUAAAAAGCAUAACAUCUCCCAACAGGAUUCACAACUGUUUUUAAAUCUGUCCAGUUCUCUAGCACAGUUUCAUGUUUUCAUGAUAAAGCAUUAAACAUUUAUAUCACAAAUGUCUCAAACAUGUAGCUGCAGUGUUUCCAGCUUGACCUCAUUCAGUGUGUGACCUGCACAUGCUCAACAUGUAUUUUCAACAUCAUAAAAAAAUUAACACGUGCUUCAUAUUCA